CGGGAAUCCUCACAGGAGGCUCAAAGCUGUGAAGACCAUGCCAGUUCCAGGCCGCAGCAUGGCUGCCGUGGGGAUCUAGCCAUAACAUCUCCUGGGAUGAAUCUAUCUUCAAGAGGAAAGAAAAAAAGCUUUGGGCAAAUAGAUGACUCUGCAUAAUGUGAAUGGGCCUCAUCCAGUCAGUUAAAGGUCCUAAAAAAAAAGACUGACCUUUCAGAAGAGGAAAUUCUUUUAGCAGACGGCCUUGGGACACAAACUGCAGCGUCAGCUCUUCCUUGAGUCUCCGGCAUGCCCACCUGUCCCACAGAUUUUGGACUUGCCAACUCAACGGUUAAAACACAUAAUGAACUUUCAGUAAACAACCUCAUGGACUGAAAAUAGGAGACUUGUUACUGUUCCAACUUCCACAGCCACCAAACCAGCCUUAUCCACAUUCCACGCCAACAGCCAAAUGCCAGUCACGAGACAAAAUCAUUGCUGACUGCAACAGAAAUUU
rnacentral:lncRNA from 1 species